rnacentral:rRNA from 1 species
GACGAACGCUGGCGGCGUGCCUAAUACAUGCAAGUCGAGCGAGCGGAACCAACAGAUUUACUUCGGUAAUGACGUUGGGAAAGCGAGCGGCGGAUGGGUGAGUAGCACGUGGGGAACCUGCCCCUAAGUCUGGGAUACCAUUUGGAAACAGGUGCUAAUACCGGAUAAGAAAGCAGAUCGCAUGAUCAGCUUUUAAAAGGCGGCGUAAGCUGUCGCUAAGGGAUGGCCCCGCGGUGCAUUAGCUAGUUGGUAAGGUAACGGCUUACCAAGGCAACGAUGCAUAGCCGAGUUGAGAGACUGAUCGGCCACAUUGGGACUGAGACACGGCCCAAACUCCUACGGGAGGCAGCAGUAGGGAAUCUUCCACAAUGGACGCAAGUCUGAUGGAGCAACGCCGCGUGAGUGAAGAAGGUUUUCGGAUCGUAAAGCUCUGUUGUUGGUGAAGAAGGAUAGAGGUAGUAACUGGCCUUUAUUUGACGGUAAUCAACCAGAAAGUCACGGCUAACUACGUG